rnacentral:rRNA from 1 species
AUGCAGUCGAGCGGUAGCACAAGGGAGCUUGCUCCCUGGGUGACGAGCGGCGGACGGGUGAGUAAUGUCUGGGAAACUGCCUGAUGGAGGGGGAUAACUACUGGAAACGGUAGCUAAUACCGCAUAACGUCGCAAGACCAAAGAGGGGGACCUUCGGGCCUCUUGCCAUCAGAUGUGCCCAGAUGGGAUUAGCUAGUAGGUGGGGUAAUGGCUCACCUAGGCGACGAUCCCUAGCUGGUCUGAGAGGAUGACCAGCCACACUGGAACUGAGACACGGUCCAGACUCCUACGGGAGGCAGCAGUGGGGAAUAUUGCACAAUGGGCGCAAGCCUGAUGCAGCCAUGCCGCGUGUGUGAAGAAGGCCUUCGGGUUGUAAAGCACUUUCAGCGAGGAGGAAGGUGGUGAGCUUAAUACGUUCAUCAAUUGACGUUACUCGCAGAAGAAGCACCGGCUAACUCCGUGCCAGCAGCCGCGGUAAUACGGAGGGUGCAAGCGUUAAUCGGAAUUACUGGGCGUAAAGCGCACGCAGGCGGUUUGUUAAGUCAGAUGUGAAAUCCCCGGGCUCAACCUGGGAACUGCAUUUGAAACUGGCAAGCUAGAGUCUCGUAGAGGGGGGUAGAAUUCCAGGUGUAGCGGUGAA